rnacentral:tRNA from 1 species
GGGGGCGUAGCUCAGUGGUUAGAGCAGUCGGCUCAUAACUGAUUGGUCGUAGGUUCAAGUCCUACCGCCCCCACCA